rnacentral:tRNA from 1 species
GGCUCGGUAGCUCAGUUGGUAGAGCAAUGGAUUGAAGCUCCAUGUGUCGGCGGUUCGGUUCCGUCUCGCGCCA